AGACGAUGGAUGAACACAGCGAUAUUGGAAAUUCGCUUCAGUUUUCAAGGACUUCUUUGAAAAACGAAAAUUGAGCGAUUAGUGCCAAGAAGCGUCGGAUGCCAGCUCCGAAUCGACAAAAAUCCACGGAAUUUCAACAAAGUUCAAUCGACUCUUAUUUAAACAUCAAUCAGAAGACUACGUCCUGGACUCCAAAUCGAUGAGUCGAUGUACAUUUGGGACGGAGCAGACCAAAUGGACGACCACUACAAUUCGAGAAGUUUUCGAAAGAAAGACGUGGAUACUCCGAAAAGGAUCCAAGAUUAGCCAAUCGGAAACGCCACGGAAAUCCAUCUACAGAACAAACAAAUGCGACAGCGGAUCGAGGGAAAAUCCCGAAAAAAUCUAAUUUUUUUGCAUUUUUUGAAAUUUUUCUUAAAUAAAUUUUAUUUAAAUAA
rnacentral:antisense_RNA from 1 species